GCCAGCAGCCAUAUCCCUCUGCAGCUCCCAGCUGGCAGCCCCCCCCACUGGAGCUCAGCAGGUGUGAGCCUGGUCAGUACCUGGAGGGGAGACCUCCUGGGAAAAACUAAGGCUGCUGCUGGGA
rnacentral:rRNA from 1 species